CGGCUGCCGGGCGGAGACGCUCCUCACUUCCCAGACAGGCACCGAUAAUACGCUGUCAUGUGUACAGUAACAUUCAAGAUGGAACUGGAGGAGCAGGGAACAUAGAGUGAUGGGGAAGAAAAGAGGGAAUCCCGAGCAGAGAAAACUGGGAAAAGAACUAGAGGUGAGCUAACAUGGCAGGAGUUAGAGCAAACAAAAAGUAGUCUAAUAGGAAUUAGAAAAGAGGGAGGGGGUUGCGACAACAAACUAGAGUUGUGGUCAGAGGAUAAAGAGCAUUUAGGUGUCUGGAGAUAAAUUAGUAAAAAAUGUGAUGCCAGGGCUAGGCUGCAUAUCAGACAGAUUAUCUGGCAGCCAGGUCAAGGAUGGAUUUGAGGCUGAGAAUCCAAAGAAGGGUAACUCAGUUAGGAAGCUGUAAUAGUCCAGUAGUCCAGGUGAGAAAUACUGAGACCUUGAACUCUAUAUGUUGGAGGAGGACUUAAAAAGACAGUACAGAAUAGCUGCAAGAGAGAAGCAAAAUUAUUGCUCACCAAGCUUUAUGCCGACACAGAAGAGCAUUUCACAGUAACUAUCUAACAAAUUAAAAAUCAAUUUUCCUUAAAAUAGAUAAUUUUAAACUAAGAAUAAUAACCACUGGUUUCAAAAAUAUGUUUCUGGUAUAAUAUUUUGUAGGCUCAUGGCCAAGCUUUAGACAUUUCUAGCUCCAUGCCAACUUUCUGCAUUGGUAAAAGUAUCUAUAACUGAGGGCAAGAUACAGUUUUGUAUGUUUACCAGAGGCUAGUUUCACGCCAGAAAAAGGUACAGCAUUAGAAAGAGUUGGGGAGAUUUAACUACACAGAGUAGUUUCAUUGCCCUAAAAAUUCUCUGUGUUUCACUAUUUAUCUCGUCCUCUAUUGAAUUAAUAUUUAAAAGUUACUGGGACAUAUAAUAAUUUUAAACAAGAUAUUUUAAUAUUGGUGAGACAUGUAAAGGUCCUAUUUUUUAAUAUUUUAUAUUUGUUUUUUAUUUAUUGGCAAACUCCUAUUGCUGUCAUUGAUAAUGGUGUCAUUCUGAUUACCUCUACUCAUAAGGGGGUGGCAGUGUGUGAUGUGAGUAAGGAGGAACAUUGUGUGAUUCAGUCAGUGUUGCCUCACCUGGCUGAACACAUUUCUGUCACUACUGGCAUGCAUCAGAAUUCAUCCUGCUGAGCAUUUAAUGUCUUAAUGACGCAGUGAAGAAUCUUUUCAUGGUGAAAGAUGGUACAGGAGCUGGAAAGCCUUUUGUUAAAAUCAGAAAGGACUAUCUGAUAACUGACUGCACUUUUGAUACUAUACUGAACAUCUAGAAUUUUGGAAAAAAUUCUGGUAUAGUUUCUCUGUGGAUCUUAUAUCAUAGUCAAAGUGCUCUCGUUUUUAUCUUAUACCAAAAGAGAAAUGAUUGCCAAUCAUACAUAAUUACAAAAAAACCCAACUAACAAAAAGCUAGGAAACAUAUUAGGACUCAAUAUUGUCAUGAUUAGGACAACUAGCAUAAUAAUAUUACUCAAAUCAAGGAAAGAUGCAUAAUUAUUUUCAGAUCAUGUUAUUCAAAUGUCUUUAAGCUACAUCUGACAAAAGCACAACUCAAACUAACUUAAGAAAUAGGAGAAAGUAUCAAGUGCAAUGGGUCGUUUCCUGUAAUUGAAGGAAAAACUGGACAAACUGCAGCCAAAAAAUGCAUUUAUAAUAAAUACAUGAUCAUCAGGAAUUUGGAGACUGAAUGCAAAAGGGCUUUCUUGAUUGCUAUUACUCUGCUCUCUUCCUGAGGGCAUUUUUCUUUUCCUUACUGACGGGUUCUUCCCCAUGGCCACCAACUUCACCAAGAGUUGUCACAUAUGGUAUCUUUCACCACCAGAGAAGGUCUGGCUAAUUCCUCCAUUUUCAGUAACAAGAAUGCUGGGAAAGGUCUGAUUGGUCUACCUCUUGAACAAUCAAUCAGGUAAGAACCUAGCAGUGUCCACGACAACCAAGUAAUUGGAUCUGGGAAGGAAGCAAUGACCAGAAGAGGGGAGAGUAUAGCAAACAUGGCAUAUGCCCAUUACCUAGGAGUCCUGUGGGAAAGCAGACGGAAGGAAAGGGUGUGUGUUGUUUCAUAACUUAUGUGGGAUCUCAUAGUUCUGCCUCGCAUUCUUUUUUAUAAAAUAGGUAAUAGAUUCAUAAUCACUGAGUUGACUGCAUAAGUGAAUGUGUAAAUGAAAGAGACUGACUUCCAUGCUUUAUGAUUUAUGUCUUUUGAAAUUAAUUUUUAUAUCUCCUCUAUUGUUAUAAGUUUCAAUAACCAUUCUUGGCUAGAGGGCUUGUAAUACUGGCUUUAUGCAUUUCUGUUGUAAUGUGAACUAUACUGGAAUAGUUUACAAACAUUAGGAGUCCUGGAUAUAACAUGGGACUAGCAAGCUCUCCAAUUAAUAAAGUACAGAAGCUUUUGUGUAAGGGUUUGGGCAUCUAUGUUGGCUAUGUAGACAUACUUAUUAUGCUUUGGUUGAUGUUUUGGGCUGUAUUCUGAAGAACUGUUGUUCAAGUAUCUUUUUUUCAGGUAAGUGAAGCAAUAUUCUUCUAAAUGGUAUCCUGAUACUCUAAGGAAGAGUUCAGGCUGCCAGUUCUAGUAUGUCCCAGUCUUCUUGACAUUCCUCUGCCAAAUGGGAAAAGUUUAACGUGGUGAAAUGAAAUGAAAAUGAACUUAAAGAAAAUUCUUCCACGGGAAAAAUUAAAACUCCCCCAAAGAGCAACGUCCAUGGCACAGAGUAGAAGAACGGAGAGAUGUUUGUUUCUGUUGAAGUUUUCACAAUGAGACGACUGCAGCUGUAUCACUGGGAGUCUCAGGUGUAUUCUUAGCAUCCACUGGGGAGACCUCCUCCCUUCCCUCCUCCUAGUUUCCUGAGUCAUUAUUCAUUUGUACAACUGAGAAAAUGCUAAUUGUGUGCUCAUAUACAGAACCCCCAAAGUUUCAUUUUUGUGGAUUUCAUGUCAAUCCCUCACAUUCCUGAAAUGAUUCUUCCAACAGUCUCAUGUCAUUCUUAUGAAAACACUUGCUAUUAUGCCUUUGAAUCCUAGCAGUCUCAGUGUUAAUUAUUACUUUGGUUGUAUCUGCCUCGGUGCUGUGUACCAUAGACAAUAAAUGUAAGCGGGGUCUGUAAUUAUAAUUGAUAUCGUUGUUCAUUACAAAAAUAAUUCCAUUUGAAGAGAUCACAUAAAAAAGGAUUUUAAAAGAAAAAAGCACUGCUAAUUUCCUUAGUAAGAUGUAUGUGAAACAGAAAAAGGGGAGCAAUCGCAAUUCUUGGGCAUUAAGCAUGCUGCUUAUCUGCUUAUUAUGAAAGCAGUUCGACAAUCUUAAAACUGCAUUACUUGAAAACUGAUUAGUGAACGAGGCACAGGUAGUUCCUCAUUAACUUAUAAUUUAAUGACAGAAUUCUGCUGAAAUAUAAUUUUCUCAUUUGGAAAUAAAUUUGUUUUAAAUUACCUUAAUUAUACCUUCCAACUUUAUUUUAAACCUUUUUGCAAGCUAGAUUCUUCUCUUCAAAUGAAGAGGGUAUUUUGCCCUUGGUAACUCAAUCCCGUUAGUUCUUCCUCUGCUAUAAGAACGAUUCUUUGUCUUUGGCCUUGAUUGUUCCAUCUUUGACCAUUCUCACUGCCUGUGAAGGUCUUGGAAUAGUGACUCUUAAACACAGUUUUUUUUUUUUUUCUUGUCUUCUAAUUUAAAAGUAAAAUAUUGAUAUCAGUUUAUUUAAUGGCUCUUCCUGACUUUCAUAUUGCAGAUCCUUGUUCUAGCUUAUCAUGGUUAUAAUUUAUUGGAUUUCAGAACACAAUUCUACCAUUUUCUAGCUGGGACCUUCUGCCAAAUGCUAUCUCAUAUCUAUUUUAUCCUUCUUGCCUAACAGAGGCCCAACAGUGCUCAGGCCAAUAAUAUGUUCAACUGAAAAAAAAAUAUCCAUUUUCCAAUGUCCUUAGCAGCUGGGUGACCAACAUGUGCCACAUGGCAAAUCACAUGUAAGCAGAUGCCUGCUGGAGGGUUCUGGGAAAAUGUGUUUCCUGAUAUAGAUCUCUUUUCCUUUUACUGUAGGGAAUGUAAAUGGAAAGGCUAGAGCUACAGAGGCAUCUCGAUCUAUGAGAAAAAGGCCACGAGAAUCAUAGGGGCCUCACUCAGCCUUGUUAUCCCUGAGCUCCUGAAUCAGUGCCAGAAACCACCUGUGGAGUCCUAAUAAGAUAACUCCUUUUAGAAGAAAAUUCAAGAUCUGGCAACACUGUGCCCAAGCUUCUCUAAGGAAGAGAUUGUCAAAGUGUGGUGCCUGGACCAGCAGCAUUAGCAUCACCUGGGACCAGUUAGAAAUGAAGAUGCUCAGGCUCCAUCCCAGACCUGCUGGGGCUGGGGCCCAACAAUCUGUGUUUUAACAGGCUCCCUGUGUGACUGUGAUACGUGAUGCUCCAAGGUAAUUGGCCACUGAAGAAAGUAAAGACUGUUCUACACCUAAGAAGCAAGGACUCAAUUACAGCAUGUGUUACUGCAUUAUAUCAUUUAAAAUAUUCAAAAUUAAUGGAAGGAAUAAACACAGGCUAAAGGAUGAUUUAAAAAAAGAGUUAAAUGCUGGUUUGAAUCCUUACUUUUUAAUACCACUUUUUAAAAAGGUUAUUUUAUUUGCAUGCCAAGUAUCUACAAAAUAAAACAUCUCUUCAUGACCUUUAGAUUUUAUUUUUGAUACCAGAAACAUUUUUCGUGCAGAAGAUAUACCUUACUCAUUUUUUCAUACUCAUGAAAUGUAUCUUUAUUGGAUUGUAGGCUUAUCCAAUGAUUUGUGUAGGUUAAUUUGAUUCCCUGCACUUAAUGCAAUAUUCUCAAUCUGAAUUACAGUUAUAUGGAUGGAACUCAAAUCCAUUCCUAUCAAUCAUCAAGCAUAUAAGAGGCUUUCCAGUAGCACUCAGUACAACAGUUGGAAAUGAAAGAGAUGGAUUCCUUAUACUUAAGUGAGAUUCGUGUGAUUCAGCUUCAUAGUGAUAAAGCUACCUUUUCUUUGAAGGCAGAGCCGACUUGCUAUGCUUUAUUCAAAUUUCAUUGUGGAGGAAAUGUAUAAAUUUACGUCCAGGCUGGUUUCCCAUCAAACCCUUGAAUUCAACAUUUGCAUCUCAGAAAAUAAAACACAGACUAACAAAUUCCCCUUGAAUCAAUGCUUAUCCUCAUACCUCUCAUUUUCAAGGUUUCUUUCUUUUAUAUAUGAGUGUGAUGAAGGCUAUCAUUCUGUUCACCAGGGUGUACCAGUGGCUUAGGCGGCUCACACAGCCAGCAAGCCUUUAUAGAGGAAACACCUAUCCACUUGCAUCAAUGAUGGCUCUGAAAUAUGGUGCUGUGAAUAUUCUUCUAAAUAGAGCAAAAGACUCGGAGGAUGUUACUUGUUUAAGUAUUUCUUUCCCACAAGUAACAGAUGGAAAAUCUUUAAAUAUU
rnacentral:lncRNA from 1 species